GGUUGUGGCUUAGUGGUAGAGCGCUUACUUAGCAUACAUGAAGCACUGGGUUCGAUCCCUGGCACCA
rnacentral:tRNA from 1 species